rnacentral:lncRNA from 1 species
AUGGGAGAGACAGGCAAGCUGCAAAGGGAAGUCGACGAAAUAAAAUUAAAGCCCUACAAUCGUGUUCGUGUCAAUGUAGAUGGGGUGCCCCCCUCGGUUUGCUCACAGAGGUGGGUGUGAGAUCCUACAGGACGGUCUGGAAGACAUCCCAUGGAAGGCACUUUAUUUUGCCCAGAAGCUGGAGGAAAAGCAGAAGAGUGCUGAUUGGUGCAUUUACAAUCCUUUAGCUAGACACAGAGCACUGAUUGUAGCGUUUUUACACAGUGCUGAUUGGUGCAUUUACAAUCCUUUAGCUAGACAGAAAAGUUCUUCAAGUCCCCACUUGACCCAGAAAGUCCAGCUGGCUUCACCUCUUAAAACUACUCCACCUAAGGUUUUUAGAUCAAAAAGAAUUGUACUCAAGGAAUUGAAGCUAUGGAGCCUCUGCCACAUCUGGACCUGAUUUUGAUGACAAGAUCCUGUACCUCAAGCCCGAGACUAAUUUCAUAAUUUGAUGAAUCUUUUUGGAGAGUCAUGGGAGGAAUGUAAACAAUUUGUGGCCAAAGGAGAAUUAUGGUAGUUUGAAGAUGUGGAUACAAAUUAUUUGACAUUCUUCUCAUAGAAAGGUAACUCCAUAGCUGGGAGCCAAGUCUCGAAGCCCCAUGAGGGGAAGUGGAUACAUCUCAGAAUUGGGUUUCCUGAUACACACGACUGCAUCCUUCAUCUGCCAGGCCCUGGCAUUGUUUACUGGAGAAGAUGUCAUAGGAAAUUGGGCUAUGUCAUUGAGCCACUGGAGUCACA